AUCGAAAGCUUGCUUUUGAUGGGCGUCGACCGGCGCACGGGUGCGUAACGCGUAUCGAACCUGCCUCAUACUCGGGGAUAGCCUUGCGAAAGUAAGAUUAAUACCCGGCGGUCUCGGAUGGCCGCAUGACUGUCCGAGUGAAGAUUUAUCGGUAUGAGAUGGCGAUGCGUCCCAUUAGCUAGUUGGUGAGGUAACGGCUCACCAAGGCAUCGAUGGGUAGGGGUUCUGAGAGGAAGGUCCCCACAUUGGAACUGAGACACGGUCCAAACUCC
rnacentral:rRNA from 1 species